GCAGCAGUGGGGAAUUUUGGACAAUGGGCGCAAGCCUGAUCCAGCCAUGCCGCGUGCGGGAAGAAGGCCUUCGGGUUGUAAACCGCUUUUGUCAGGGAAGAAAAGGUUCUGGCUAAUACCUGGGACUCAUGACGGUACCUGAAGAAUAAGCACCGGCUAACUACGUGCCAGCAGCCGCGGUAAUACGUAGGGUGCAAGCGUUAAUCGGAAUUACUGGGCGUAAAGCGUGCGCAGGCGGUUAUGCAAGACAGAGGUGAAAUCCCCGGGCUCAACCUGGGAACUGCCUUUGUGACUGCAUGGCUAGAGUACGGUAGAGGGGGAUGGAAUUCCGCGUGUAGCAGUGAAAUGCGUAGAUAUGCGGAGGAACACCGAUGGCGAAGGCAAUCCCCUGGACCUGUACUGACGCUCAUGCACGAAAGCGUGGGGAGCAAACAGGAUUAGAUACCCUGGUAGUCCACGCCCUAAACGAUGUCAACUGGUUGUUGGGAGGGUUUCUUCUCAGUAACGUAGCUAACGCG
rnacentral:rRNA from 1 species